UCCUACGGAGAAACCAAAAUGAUACCCAGGGGGAGAAAUUGACGCCAGAAACCCUCGCAAAUCCAAAUCUGCUCUGCUUCUGGAUAUUGGUAAGUUUCUUCUAUCAAGGUUGAAGAUUCUCACGAGAUUGUCUUUCUUUGUUGAACAAUGUUGCGUGUAUUCUGCAAAACUAUGCUUUUAACAAAAUCUAUAGAUUCAACGAGUGGAAAUGCUUUUUUUCUUCGAACAAUAUCAUCCACAGAGUCAACCUUAGGAACCUUGGGAUCCAUAGACCAGAAAAAUCUCACCAUCUCUUACCUCAUGAAUUCAUGUGGAUUUCCUUUCAAAGUCGCUACUUCAGUGGCACAGAAGAUCUGCAUCGAGACCACAGAGAGACCGGAUUCUGUCAUUGAGCUCUUACAAACAUAUGGAUUCACCAACACCCACAUUGGUAGUCUGAUACGGAAGUACCCACGGGUGCUUUUAGCCGAUCCCAUCAAAACCCUUAAACCCAAGAUCGACUUCUUUCAAUCUCUGGGCUUUUCAAAAUCUGACCUUGCUAAGUUCCUCAUCUCAGACAAUGUCCUACUCAGAAGCUUGCAAAGGCAAAUAAUCCCGACCUUAAAUUACCUCAAAACCUUCAUCCACACCAACGAGAACCUCAUCAGUACUCUCAAGCAAUCCACCCGCCUCGUUGGUUACAGCGUUAAGAGAAUUUGGGAGCCCAACAUUGCAACCUUGCGAAGUUACCAUGUACCGGAUUCCAAUAUUUCGAAGAUGAUCAUCUCCUUUCCCGAGCCUUUGACACUGAGUGUUUUGCGAUUCAAGCAUAUUGCUGCAAUGGUGAACAAAAUGGGUUUUGAUCCCAACAGUCGUUCAUUCCCUGCAGCCAUUUACUCUGUGGCGGGGGUUAGCAAACAGAAUUGGGAAAGGAAAAGGGAGGUCUUUAGGAGCUUAGGUUGGUCUGAUGACGAAUUUCUUGUGGCCUUUAAGGUACAGCCGAUGGUCAUGCUCACUUCGGAGAAGAAGCUCGUGAAAUUGAUGAAUUUCUUUGUGAGCAACCUGCACUUGAAGCCAUCAGAAGUUGCGAAAUACCCAAACCUUUUCUUAUUAAGUUUGGAAAGGAGAAUCAUUCCGAGGUGUUCAUUGCUGCAAGUUCUGAUGUCCAAGGGUCUUAUUGAGAAUAAUUUGCAUAUAGUUUGUGCGCUAAAUGAUAAUAAAAAGCGUUUUGAGAAGAGGUUUGUCACUAGAUAUGAGGGGGCAGCCCCUGAGGUAAUCAAGGCAUACAAAGGUGAGAUGCGAUUUCUAGGACUUGGAAGUUGACACUGCUGUUGAAGAUGGUGGAAGAAUUAAAUAUAUAUGGAUUGAAGAAGUCCCAACACAGAUCUAUGACAAUCAUGGAUUUGUAAAGUGGUUGAAAGGUUCUGUUUCUGAACAAAGAGCUUGGAUGGAGGUGGUGACGGUUUUAGAGUAUUUUCAUGACAGUUCUAGAGCAGCAAAUGGUGUUGUUUGAUGCCUGAAAUCAUGACAGAUCUAAUGAAACAUUGUGAUGCUGAGGCUGAUCUGAAACCUGGUAUACAUCCAGUUUGUCAUCGUUACUCGGGCAACUGGCGUCUGUGAUCAACUGAAGUUCCUCCAUUGAUGGCCGAAAGGAGCUACUUGCAUUCCAAUGAAGAGAUUGGGGUUGGAGGGAGAGAUGCAUGCGUGGCACUAUAGAUGGAAAGUGCAGUUCCUGCUCCUUAAUUUCUGCCACAUGGAAGGCAAACUAGGUCUGGAGAUUCUGGACAGCUUCAAAUUUUUGUGUGGCUCCAAUACUCCAACCUUUUAACAGUAUUGACACUUGAAUAUGGGCAUCCCAAGUAACUCAUAAGAUCUGCAAAAGAGACUUAGUUAAAAUCUUGCAUCGUGUGCCUUUAUAUCAGAGAAGAUUGUUGCAGUCUCCCAUUUGAGAAUUUAAAACCUUAUCACCACAAAUUGAGAUAGAAACCAUAAUAUGGCAUGUUCCCGAAACUCUUGUUAUCAGCCCCUGCAUUUGCUUCUUUUCUCUUGUAUUUUUAAGGGUGGACAAUCAUUCAAAGGUUUGUGUUUUUCAUAGGCUUUCUUUGCUUUAUCUUUACAUUUGUUGGUAGACUCAGAUAGGAUUCAAAUUUGGCUCCACAUGAGUUGCUACAUGACAAAUAAGCCCAUUGAUAUAAGACUACUACCUACAUCUGGUUACGCUUUAUUUAUAAAAAAUAAAAAAAAAGACGAUAAAUUGAUGAUUUUUAAUUGGGAAAAUCUUCUUGUAACCAUGGUUGGUGAAAAUACAUUGUAACAUUACUUUUUGCUUUUAGUAUGACACCUUUUUUUCUUUUUUCCUCAACCAAAGUAAAAUCCUGUCAUUCCAUUUUUGUCUAUUUUACCCCCUUUUGGUGACUGGUCUACCAUUGUUGGACGUUGUAGGGAUGAGUUGAAACAUGUGGUUACUUCAGACCUUAGGAAACUUCUGGGCAUAGAGGGAGAGCCUACUUUUGUGAAGUAUGAAACCUUUGGGCAUAGUUAUCAAGGCAUCGCCUAGGCGAUAAGGUGGUUCAGCCUGGACUGGUGCCUUGGUCUCCUAGGCAAUGCCUUGACACCUUGUUGGUGCCGCCUGGAUUUUUCCCUAUCCUCCACCGGCUUGAUAACUAUGCCUCUGAGGGCUUAUUGCUUAUUGUUGGUACUUAAAAUGGUUGAGGUUGAACCCUUUAAUGUUUGCAACUGAUGUGAUGUAGUCUCCAAAGAUCAAAGAUCAAUGCCUCCUAAUAGAGUUCAACCAAAUAUGAUGUACAUUGCCUUGUACCAUAUUAUUGUAAA